CUUCCCCCAGCUUCGUGGGUUUCUCCGCCCACCAGGGCAGUGUGUGAGAGGAAAUCUCGGGGCUUUGCUCUAUCGCAAGUGCUCGUCUGGGCGGUUUUUGAGCACCACCAUCCAGAAGUGCUGGCGUCCGGAUGCAUUUGCCUUUGCUUUGCAAAGAAGAGUCGUGAACUUCAAGACCCUUCCAGACGGAUAAUUAAUCCUGCUUUGCAGGAAAGGGAAACCCUCCAUCCCCAGCCACCCCAUCUCCGGAGACCCUGCAAUCGCCCAGGAGCUCCGAACCGGAAGGGGACGCUUUGGGAAUGACCACGCUCCACGGAGGGACAGAGCCGGUCCCCAGCUUCUCUACACAGAGCCUCCUCCACUAAAGCUCCAAAAACCAAAAACCGUAAUUGCCCGAAGAAUUGUUUAAAAAAAAAAAAAAAUAGUCCGGCCACUAACCUCACAUGCACACGGAAUAAUCAUUCUGGAUUCUGCAUUGUGAGCUGUUCUCCAUAGCCUGAAUUACCUUUGAAUUCCAUCUUUUUUUUUUCUUUGAAUUUGCCUCUCUUCAAGACACAAGAUUAAAACAAAAUUCACGCUGAAUUGGAUUUUAAAUGAUCUUCCUUUUCUUUAUCCUUCGUCUUUCUUAUGUGGAUAUGCAAGCGAGAAGAAGCGACUGGAUAUUCCCACCAUGCUCACUCCCUUAAUCUGUCCGUCUAGAGGUUUGGCUUCUACAAACCAAGGCUGCCUUUCCCCCUUGCCACUUCCAUGUCUCUCUAGCUCCUGUCUCUACCUUCCUGGGCAUCCUUUUUAUGCCCUUUUUAAAAAUGAAAUAAUGAAUGAGGU
rnacentral:lncRNA from 1 species